rnacentral:lncRNA from 1 species
AUUAUGUAAAUAGACUCAUCAGGGUGCAGGACAGGUCAUGCACUCAUAAAAGUUUAUGAAUCCAAGGGAUCUUCAAAAACUUUAAGGGAUAGGUCAACGAUCUAUUCCUUACUAUCUUCCUCAUCUGGAGGGGGAGCAUGGAAAAAAAUGAGUUCCAUAUACUUAGCUAGAUUGCACCUUGUGUCCUACACAAACUAGACAUACCCACAGUGUGCACAUCCUGCGUUAGUUGUGUGUGGUAAGCGGAGCCUGUGCGAGCGUCGUGGGGAGCUCUUCGUACGUCAUAUCAGCUUGAACCUGUAUCUCUUGGUGAGGAAUGAUGUGGAAAGGGUAAGGAUGGUACCU